GCGUCUGUGGCUCAACUGGAUAGAGCUCCCGGUUUCGGCCCGGGUGGUUGUGGGUUCGAAUCCUACCAGGCGUACCA
rnacentral:tRNA from 2 species